CAAACCACACGUCUUCGCUCUACAAAAGCAACGGCGGCGCACCAUGGUCUAAGAAAGCAAAAACGCGCGCGCGCGCGCACGCAUAACAUACGCACCACGCCCAGUGCCGCACGAGGUACAGAGAGGGAGAGGCAAUGGAAGCGCUCACGGGCGGCAGGCCGCUGUCCGCCCGGGAGGAGGAGCUGCUCGGCCUCCUCGCCAGCUUCCCCGACGGCGGCGAGUACGGCUCCGACAGCGAGAUGUCCUUCUCCGACCUCGUCGUCGAGGCCGGGGCCAGGACGAGCGGCGCGGACCAGUGCGCCGCGGCACCGCGGGAGGAUCGCAGGAGCGCGGCGGCGCUGUCGCCCGAGCGGCAUGAGUCGGCGUUGAAGCAGCAGCGGGGGCAGGUGGCGAGGCAGAGGAGGCAGCGGAUCGGCGGUGGCAGGGGGAGCAGCGGGGGUGGCGGGGACGGCGUGCUGCUCAACGUCUACGUGCCGGGGCUGCUCACACGGAGCAUGACCGCGCCGCGGCCCGGCCGCGGGGCGCUGCCGCCCGGGGCCGCGGCGAAAGCCGCCGCCGGAAAAUCCAGGACACAAGCUCCUCUGGCCAUCGGAUGCUGGCCGGCGUUGUGGGGCCGCGGCCGCGAUCGCCGCAGGCCUGCCAAGGCCAGCAGCUGAGAGACGGGAUAUCAGAGUGCCAGCAUGAGAUACGACGAUCGCACGACGGAUACCACUAGCGGCACCAAACUGCAUGCGGUUGCUUCAUAAGCUUAAUUUCUCGCAGCUAACUCGAGACACUGCUCCUUGCACCUGUAAAUAAUGCCUUCCUUUCUGAUUUUGAUUGUGCAAUCGGGGUGCUGCUUUUGGGCCAGACUUGACGUUUCCCAUGGCGUAUCGCACAAGUGAUGCAAAAGUUUAGAAAAAGGCAAAAAAAUCAGACCCCCUUGAAGUGUACCCGCUGCUGUUGGCAAGUAAAAGAUGCAGCCAGGCCAUCAGAAAAGACGAGAGCUCGUGUGACUUGUUCGCCAGUCGCGUUCUUAUGUUUUCCAAGCUGUGGAGACGAGAAAACGCAGGAGCCUCGAUGCGUCACUCGAAAGUGACAACGGUUGAUCGGCGAUGCGAUGGAACUGAAUCUGAUACGCAAGUGACGGAGUGAGCGUUCGCUGUAACGUGCCGUACGCUGCGUUGAGUGGCUUGCUGCCCGGAGAUGUGGCUGGUUUCCGGGGGAAAAAAUCAUAUGAUGUGCGGUACCGCUGGAGGGCCAUGUUUCAAUAUAGAUUUCGAAAUGAUAGGUGAGAUUUAUUAA